rnacentral:lncRNA from 1 species
CCUGGGGCGGGGUCUGAGGGUGUGCAGUUCGAACACAUUCCCAGCGAGUGUUGAUACUGCCGGUCUCCCCAGACCACUCUGCACUCAGCGCCACAGUCCUGGGCCGUGUGCACCGCACAGCCUCGUCUACGACUGCUCUCCUUUCCUCCUUCCCAGCUGUACAUGCGACAGCCUGUCCUCACACAGCAUAGCCAUACAGAUUAAAGUCAACAACGGAGGCGAAGAGCACACCACAGAAGAAAAGAGGAGAAGGAGGCGCAUGGGGGAAAAUGUCCGCAUGUUGAACCGAAACUGUAAGAACCGCAGAGCCAAAGAGCCAAGAAACGCCAAGCUUGGGACACAGGAAGUCCUGGGGCAUGUCUGGGCACAACGUCAGAGACCACUCUUCCCACACUGUCCUCACUGUGUGCCGCAUUCAACCUUCCAUGUCUAAAACAAUUGCGUAAGCAUGUGCUGGCCUGGUAUUUUAUUCCUACAGCAAAUAGGAAACGUUUUCACUCUCUUCCUUCUCUUUUUAUGUCUCUUUUUAAAUUGUGUGGGAAUGAACUUGGGUUGUUUUUUGUUUUGUUU